rnacentral:misc_RNA from 1 species
UAUAUAUUGUAUAUAUAUCGUUUUAUUUUUCAUUUUUAAUUCCAUAAUAAACGCAGAUAACAAGACGACGAGCACCAUCCAUAAUACCUGUGAACAUUAACAUAAAGCGUUAACGUGAGUAUAUAUAUCGACUGUCGCCACUGCACCCUGCAUCAUUUGCUUACCGCUAUCAGAGCUUCAAGCCAAAUUAUACACAAAAUGUCUCGCACAAGCUUAAUACUUCUUCUUGUUUGUUUCGUGUGCGUCGCCGAGAUUUCAAAUGCGUACUUCGUCAAAGAAAGCAGUAGCAGUGUAGUUCGUCAAUCAUGUGCUAUGUUUGGAUCAACUUGUAAGAGCGAUGGAGACUGCUGCAAUGAAUCGUGUGUCCCAAUACUGAAGAGAUGUGUUAAAUUCUAGUUGGCCCAAAAGACGUUUCUGUCUGAACUGUCAAAUCCAAGAACUGUCGCAUACCCGAAGUUGAAAAAGACAAUUUUAUGCGCCAUUUUCUUAAAUUAUCAUUACGUAAGAACCUUUUACAAAGUAUUAGAUUUAAAAAAAAAAAGAUAAAGUAAAUCAGUAAAAUUAUUAUCAAGUUGUGACGUGACCAAGAGAAAUAUCCAUUCAUUUCUAUAUCUUGUAUCUGUAGCUUUAUACCCUAAUCAAAAUAAUAAUGUGUGUGUGUAAAUACAGUUAAUACAAUAAAAUGAAUUGAAAUAUACCUUGUCUAUUUACUGAAAUCAAGUUAAUACAUUCCAAAGUCAUGUUGGAAUUGAAAUGAGAUAAAUCUGGGCACGUGGCUUG